rnacentral:rRNA from 1 species
AUACGGAGGAUGCAAGCGUUAUCCGGAUUUAUUGGGUUUAAAGGGUUCGUAGGCGGAAAAUUAAGUCAGUGGUGAAAGCCUGCAGCUCAACUGCAGAACUGCCAUUGAUACUGAUUUUCUUGAAUUUAUAUGAAGUGGGCGGAAUGCGUCAUGUAGCGGUGAAAUGCACAGAUAUGACGCAGAACACCAAUUGCGAAGGCAGCUCACUAAUGUAAUAUUGACGCUGAGGAACGAAAGCAUGGGGAGCGAACAGGAUUAGAAACCCGAGUAGUCC